UAAUCAAUCGCUUUAGGAACGGCUCGACUCUGUUGCAGUUCCGUCAAGUUUCGCAGAUGGAAUUAUUUUGUGUGGCAGCUAAACGUCCAACCUUUUUUUUGGAGCCUUCCUUCGAAUAGUUCAACACAGCUGAACAGUAGAUGUUUAGUUCCUUGGCAAUACCAUGGCUACUUGUUACUUGUCAACUUUCGCAAUAUCUUUACCGACGUCUUCGUCAUUACCUAACCACUGCAAGAACAACAUUUAACGCACGUCGGAGUUUCGACAGCGAAAGCGUCAGAGCCUCUUUUCGGACCGUUUCUUCUAGUAACGCAUCUGGACCAUAAAAAGAAUACAUCUUUAUAUGAGCUUGUGUGCCCCUAUCGUAAUAACACUGUAAAAUAUAGUGAAUCGUUACACGAAUCUCAUUCGUGUUUCAACGAAGUACGAACAAGCACGCCGUCGAACUUUAUCUGCGUUCUCAUUUCGGAGGGGGAGGCACAUCUUCUAAGUUUGUCUAUCUGUUUAAGGCCGCUAAAAAUUGUUCAUAUCCAAUCUGAGUCACUGCGUCAGAUUGUCUCCAUUUCGAUUCCCUGCAUUGUGAACCUGUCGCUGGACAUUGUCCUCGCUCAGUUCAAAGAACUAUCAUCAUAACUGUGCCAUAUAGUUUCGCCAGAGGAUAAAUCACUGCUGUAAUCUACAUUACCACUAUAGGUUGACUUCUCUCGGUUAAUAUUGUGGAAGUUUGGAGAUCGAUAAAGUCAAUGGGAAGAGAUUUCACAGUUCACACAACGAAAGUACGUGACCCUCAAGGGACCUUCUGAACAAUAGUCAUCUACGAAAUCAUCGCUAAUUCAAUUUACUAAGAGGCUGACUCGUGCCGUAAUUUAUUAUCAUACCGUUUUUGGAAAUGUAUGCUGGUGCUGGAAAAGUGUUUGUUCAAGAAACACACAUGCGCAUGAAAUGAAACUUCCAUGUUAAAAGCAUCUGUCAAACUUAAACUAACAAGCGUAUCUGCAUCAAAAGCAUGAAACAGGAGCUAUGUUUAAGAUCAAUAACCAACAAAUAAAAUACAUACAUCUAAUCUACGCGUAUCUCUAAAAUGUGUUUUUGCCCUGCUAAGGUUUAGCGUAUUGGAAUUGCUUUGACCAAAUCUACUUUAAGACAUCGGUGGUACUGGAGUGUAGUCAUGCAAUAGACGCGUCUGAACUACAUAGCUCGUAUUUUAUGUGCCAAGUAUAAUAAUAAUAACAUUAAUCAGAAUCUGACGACUACUUCAUAUUUAUGUCAGACACCUACCUCGUAGUAUUCGAUGCAUUAUAGGAUAUUUUCAAGACCUUUUCAGUGCGUCUAGACGUGUUGUUAACUCGGCCUUACGGCGUUUGUGGGUUAUCAAAGUUGUGCGAACUACAUAACGGUUGGCGUUUCUUAACAACUUAUUUUUUCAAAUAAACACCAAACGGUUUUUGGUUUGAACCACCUUCACGUAGUUAUCAUAUCAUGAGCGUUUGCUAACAAACCCGUCCACUGGGCAGGGAUGCUCAGGCUGGCAUUAAGCAAAUACCUGGCACUAUUUUACCGUAUUAAAUGAAGAUAACUGCAGCUAGUUCAG